UAAUACGGAGGAUGCAAGCGUUAUCCGGAUUCAUUGGGUUUAAAGGGUGCGUAGGCGGAAGAAUAAGUCAGUGGUGAAAGCCUGCGGCUUAACCGUAGAAUUGCCAUUGAUACUGUUUUUCUUGAGUAUAGUUGAAGUGGGCGGAAUGUGUAAUGUAGCGGUGAAAUGCUUAGAUAUUACACAGAACACCAAUUGCGAAGGCAGCUCACUAAGCUGUUACUGACGCUGAGGCACGAAAGCGUGGGGAGCAAACAGG
rnacentral:rRNA from 1 species